rnacentral:misc_RNA from 1 species
GUGACGGGGGGAGGGGUGCAGCGGGCGGCGUCAGCAGCUCGGGCGGUGCUGGUGGUCGCGGCUCGAGCGGACACCCUCCCGAGUCCCGCUGUGUCGCGCCAGGCGGGUGCGGCGGCCGCGCUGAUGCCGGUGAUCCCACGCACGGUGAUGCGAGUGACGUCGGUGACGUUUGUUUUGGUGGCGGCCGCAGUGGUCGGACAUGCCGCGCUUCAUGGCCAAAUCAACGGAAAGGGUGAGGCGCUGCCCCGGACCGGUACUGCCUGUGUCACGCUGCCACCGGCUGUGACCUGGCCUCCACCUGCACGGGCCCGGGGUCACAGGGGUCGGCUGAUCUCUGCGGACCGUUUCACAUGUCACGACCGUUUUGGCAAGAUUCCAACGUCACAGCUAUAGAGAGAUUCCGACAAUUCGACUUUCAGCACUGUGCCGCCGAUAUCGAGUGUGCCGCUGCAGCAGUGACGUCAUACAUGACCCAACUCAGUCGGGAUUGUGACGGGGACGGCCGCGUGACCUGUCGAGACUACGGUCUGAUGCACUUCCUGGGCUACGCCGCCUGUCUGAGUCCGGCCGAGCGGCAGCGGGCGGCCAGCAGCACCUUCCACGGCGCCUUCGUCCAGUGCCUCUCCGACAUGGAUGCCCUUCUGACGGCGGGAGCGAUGCAAAACCUCCUCCCCGGAUGUCGGUCAGACUCGGUGUAAAUACAUAUACGGUUUAUA